rnacentral:RNase_P_RNA from 1 species
GGAGUGAGCCAGGCGGUCGCGUGUCGGCAGGCGAGAGCCCGCAGGCAUGAGGAAAGUCCGAACUCUAUAGAGCACGGUGCUGGAUAACAUCCAGGCGGGGCGACCCGACGGAAAGUGCAACAGAAAGCAGACCGCCGCCCACCAGGGCGGUAAGGGUGAAAGGGUGGUGUAAGAGACCACCGGCGGCCCAGGUAACUGGACCGGCCCGGUAAACCCCACCGAGAGCAAGACCAAACAGGAGCGCGGCGCCAGUCUCUGGCGCACAGGGGUUGCUCGCCCCGGUCUCCGGGUAGGUCGCUAGAGGCGAUGAGCAAUCACCGUCGCAGAGAGAUGACCGCCACCCCACGGGGGACAGAAUUCGGCUUAUCGGCUCGCUCCAACU